rnacentral:rRNA from 1 species
CUACAGAGGGUGCGAGCGUUAAUCGGAAUUACUGGGCGUAAAGCGCGCGUAGGCGGCUUAUUAAGUCAGAUGUGAAAUCCCCGGGCUCAACCUGGGAACUGCAUCUGAUACUGGUAAGCUAGAGUUUUGGAGAGGGAAGUAGAAUUUCAGGUGUAGCGGUGAAAUGCAUAGAGAUCUGAAGGAAUACCAGUGGCGAAGGCGACUUCCUGGCCAAAAACUGACGCUGAGGUGCGAAAGCGUGGGUAGCAAACAGGAUUAGAUACCCUAGUAGUCC